UACGAAGGGGGCUAGCGUUGUUCGGAAUUACUGGGCGUAAAGCGUAUGCAGGCGGAUCGUUAAGUCGGGGGUGAAAUCCCGAGGCUCAACCUCGGAACUGCCUUCGAUACUGGCGACCUUCGAGUCCGGGAGAGGUGAGUGGAACUCCGAGUGUAGAGGUGAAAUUCGUAGAUAUUCGGAAGAACACCAGUGGCGAAGGCGGCUCACUGGCCCGGUACUGACGCUGAGAUACGAGAGCGUGGGGAGCAAACAGG
rnacentral:rRNA from 1 species